rnacentral:tRNA from 1 species
GCGGGCGUGGCGGAAUGGCAGACGCGCUAGACUUAGGAUCUAGUGUCUCACGACGUAAGAGUUCAAGUCUCUUCGCCCGCACCA